rnacentral:rRNA from 1 species
GUCUACGGCCAUACUACCCUGAACAUGCCCAAUCUUGUCUGAUCUCAGAAGCUAAGCAGGGUCAGGCCUGGUUAGUACUUGGAUGGGAGACCACCUGGGAAUACCAGGUGCCAUAGGCU